rnacentral:lncRNA from 1 species
CUAUUUCGAUCCCACCAGUUAAUAAACGUCCCGGACCACCGGAUAUUGCCGUCACAGGUACCAGAUCUGUGGUGCCAAAACCUCUGGUGGGAGUCCCACCAAAGCGGCAAGUUUUUGUCUCUCGGCUUGCCCCUGACCUCACAUCUAAUGAUGUAACUGCUUUUAUACAAAGCAAAAUAAAAGCCGUUGGCUUAAAGGUGGAGAAGUUUAAUUUCUCUUAUGCCAGGGAGAUAUCCUCUUUCAAGAUUAGCGUGUCUCCAACUCAUUUCGAGACCAUUUGCUCUUCCAAAUUUUGGCCAGAGCACCUGGUUGUGAAAGAGUUUAAGGCUAAGAAGAAAAAUAGGCCCCCCAUAACUCUUCCUAGUAGUGCGGCCAGUGGUCCUUCCUCCUCCGCUCCAUUCUCCUCUUCCCACUGCAAUUCCUUGCAGUCAAAAAACUAACAUCCCUCUUUGUAGCCUAUCAAAAUGCUCGCGGCUUACGUAGUAAGCUGAGCACUCUUUUUAUGGAUAGUUUCACAUUGUCAUCCCAUGUUAUUGUGUUUACCGAAACCUGGUUAAAGCCGGACAUUCUUAGUUCCGAAGUUUUGGCAGAUCGGUACACAACUUAUAGAAAUGAUCGUUCGUCUCGACGUGGAGGAGGGGGGUAUUCCCAGCAAAGCUACCCAGGUCAUAUGUAUCCAUAUAAUUUACCAAGGUCGAAUGGAAUUUUCUGUCCUUUGUUUAAUGAAGGCUCCUUACUUCAUGAACUUAAAUUAGUUAAGCCGGUAUUUUCACCGGGCCCUGAGGGAGUUCCCGGCUGUGUACUCAGGUACUGUGCCGAGUCUCUG